GACACCAUGCGAAUGGGGGUGGUUCUCAACAUGGAGGUUUGAGUGCCCCUAGUCAGGCAACUGUUUGGGAUCCACAGCACUACAAACAACCUGAGUCCAAUGUGCAGUAUUUUGCUGUUGCGCCAAUGUCUCAACAGCACAGUGAAAGUUUGUUCCAGGAAAGUCCGCUUCUUGGUGCUGGUGUUUGGUCGUUCCCCCCAAUGAAAAGUAUUUGCCCCAUCUGUCCUCGUUGCACUUGCCCAUUACCUGGCCCUUGCCCUCCACCUUAUUGUAAACGUGGCUAUCGCCCUUGCCCGCCAUCUUGCUUCAAGUCUAGUCAUAUGUGUCGCUCCUGGUAUCCUUGGUAGGCUCUUCAAUGUCUGAGCAGGUAAGAUGAACUGUAGUGCACGUCGGUCAACUUGUUGAAACCUCUGUGUUAACUUGUGAACUUUCUGUCCUUCAGGUUAUCUGCCAUUGAUGGGGCGCUUCCUUGUCUGUAACUACUUAAUAAAUUUGUGAAAUUGAAUCAGUCGGUUUUUAUUUUCUCACUGGACCAUUCCCUUAAAUGCAACUGCACUCAACUGACACAAAGUAUGGUAAUAUCUUCAAAAAACUGGGAUGUAAUAGAACUAAGGAAACAUCCCAAAUGCCCCCUGACUUCUUUCUUUUUAAUUUACAUUUUUUUUUUUUUUUUUUCUUAAACAAAAAAGUAUAAACAAUAUUUUUUUAUAAAAUGCAAUGCCUUGUUACUGUUUGCUUUAAAGUGACAUUGGUUUACUCUUAGGCUUUGGAUCAGAGGCUACCUGAUAUUGACAGUGUAAGACUUCUCCUUCGCCACACUUGUGGACUAUUGAAUGUGUUUGACAAGUCUGCGACUUUGUGCUGUGGACACUAUCCAAAUUAACUUCAAGUGCUUAUUUUAUGAUUGGGGCUGGAGUCUACCUAUUAAAGUAGUUGACAUAUUUUAAAAAAUAAAAUAAAAUAAACUUUUCAUCAUUGUGGGUUGGCUUGCAAUAGGAUGGUGUAUGAUUCCUUUUUGUUGGAAUACUUUCGUUUUUACUGUUGCAAUAUGUGUCCAUUUAGAGGCAAUGACAUUACAUCUCAGAGUUCCUCGAGGGUAAAUGUGAUGCAAUGAACUAUUACGUUUUCUUGACUUUAGUGGUCUUAUUUUAUUAUUUUGAUUUCUUAUUUUGAUUGACAGGAAUUCAUACAUUGGGGCAUGGAGCAUUUUUUUCAUAUACUGGUUUUUUUUUUUCUUGUACUUCAUACCAUGUAUUUUGGGUAAUAGCUUCUAUUUAAAUGUGUGCUUUGACUGUCGGGGAACUUGUUCUCAAUAACAAAGGUCAGAAGGUGUAACGUACCGAUUUUGAAUGUUGGCACACUCGUGCACACCUGAGUGCAAUGAUGGAGAGCAGCUUCUGAUUGGUGCAGUGGACAGUGCUUAAAUAGAGUCAGAGCUGUUGCCAGCAACAGCAGGACGCAAGAACAAGCUGAAGUUGCAAAGCCAAGUAAACAGGACCUAGUGACCACAUUCACCAAUGGCUUGUGACUUGUGUGUGAGGCUGCUUGUGCUCUGGCUGGUAGCCUUUGGGCACCAUGCAAAGGGAGGUGGUUCUCAACAUGGAAGAUUUGCUGCCCCUAGAAGUCAGGCAACUAGUUGGGAUCCCCAGCGAUACGGACAACGUGAGACAGAUGCGCAUUAUUUGGCUCAACCCCACGACCAACAACACGGUGAAAGUUUAUCACAGGAAGGUGCGGUUCUUGUUGUUGGUCGGUCGUUCGCCCCAAUGAAAAGUGUUUGCCCCAUGUGUCCUCGUUGCCCUGAACCCCUCCCUUGCCCGUUACCUGGCCCUUGCCCUCCACCUUAUUGUAAACGUGGCUAUCGUCCUUGCCCUUGCCCGCCAUCUUGCUGUAAAUCUCGUCGUAUGUGUCGACCCUGGUAUCCUUGGUAGGCUCCUCCAUGUCUGAGCAGGUUAUUGUCCCUUGAUGGUGUAUGAUUCCAUGGCAGCAAUGAUUAAACUUGUGAAAUUGAAUUAAAUUUAUUUCCUUGUUCACUGGCUCUUUGCAAUUGACUGCAGCUGUCUCACUCAAAUGGCACAAAAGAUGGCAUUACACUGUGUGGUGGUCCUAAAAACAGAAUUCAGACUUAAAAAGCAAAAGUCCACUCAAAUCUUAGUAACAUUCUGUCACCUGACAGAAUAAAUAUAAUGGAUGAGUUGUCAAUUGUGGAGGGACUAGAAUGUACUGUAACUGGUGAGUGUAUGUUUACUUCUCUAAUGAACCAAGGAUAGCCAUAAAUUCCCCCUCCCAAGCUGCAGUAGGCCAAAAUGACAAAUGUGUAAAUGAUGGGAGCUCUGAAUCCAGACAGACAGGCAUCUGUGGUUCAGACCUGGACAGGACUAUGCCCACUAUUCUAGACUCAGUCCCUUCCAAUGUCACACUUUCAGAUUGAACAUGUAUUGGUUAUUCUGGUAAAGCUUGGUGUGUGUGUGAUUCCUUUUAUGUUGUAAGACUUUUACUGGAGCUAUGUGUCCCAUUGUGUACAUUACUUUAGUGUUCCCUCUGGGUAAGUGCUAUAAAGCCGUUUUGUUAGGUUUAAGAUCUUUAUUUCCACAGGGACAUUUUCAUAAUUUGAGCAGCAAAUGGUGGCUACAGGAAAUUUAAAAUGUAUCCAUUUUAAGUGUUCAAGCACAUUAACAUGCAUUCACCUGCACACAGUGCAGAGGGAAGACUUUUUUUUUUUCCCCCAGAAGUCAGAGAAGAGACAAAGAUAUUGGUACAUUGCAAUGAAUGAUGCAAAAAGCACAUUACAUAAAAUAGAACUAUUGUCCAUGCAUGAACUAUACAAUGUUCUGGUAUGCAACUGUAGAUUAUAAAUUGUAUACUCUUGUAUGCACCCGGUGUAUACUUUGUAUACUUUAGUGGUCUUACCACUGAGUAAUUUAUUUUGAUUAAUGGAUAAAAACAUAAUUGGGGAAUCGUAUUGCUCAUUUGUGUGUUUGAAGUGGGUUUUUUUUUUUUCCUGCAUGCAUCUUGCUAACAUCUCGGCUCAGAUUUACAGAUGUCCUGUGUUUAUUGUCGAUGGACAUGCUCAAAGAAAGUGCACGGUACUGAUUUUUGGCGACUUAUUAAAUCAAAAUGAUUUUGAUUGAUGAUUUGCUCUCGCGCACCUGAAUGCAAUGAUCAAGCGCUGCAUGCUGAUUGGCACAGGUGAUUGUGCUUAAAUAGAGCCAGUGUGGUGACAGCUGCAGCAGCAGAACACAAGAACAAGCUGAAGUUGCAUUGCUUAGCAGGACCCAGUGAUUACAUUUACCUAUGGCUUGUGACUUGAUGCUUGUGCUCUGGCUGUUAGCUUUUGGACACAGUGCAAAGGGACAUCGUUCUGGACAUGUGGUGUCUCCUUUUGGGAUGGCUGGGAGUUCCCCUAGAAGCCUGGCAACAAGUUGGGACCCACAGCUAUACAGUCAACUUGAGUCCAAUUCAGAUAGAUUCCUCCAGAACGAGGCUGGCGAGCAGGUUUCGGCUUUAGCCGAACCCCAUGCCCAGCACAGUGAAAGUUUGUUUCUGGAAGGUGUAGCUCUCAGUUCUGGUGGACGGUCAUUCAAGCCAAUGGAAACUAUUUGCCCUCCUUGUCCCGGUUGCCCCAGACUUCCCCCUUGCCCGUUACCUGGCCCUUGCCCUCGGCCAUACUGUGUGCCUUAUUAUAACCCUUGCCCUUGCCGUCAAAAGUGCUGCAAGCGCGGUCGCAGGUGUCUCACCUGGUAUCCUUGGUAGAAUCCUUCAUGUCUGAGCUGGUUUUUGUCUAUUGCAGUGACUGUCUAAUAAAUUGGUGAAAGUGAA